rnacentral:rRNA from 1 species
GUAAGGAAUAUUGGUCAAUGGAGGCAACUCUGAACCAGCCAUGCCGCGUGAAGGAUGAAGGCCCUCUGGGUUGUAAACUUCUUUUGUAAGGGAAGAAAUGCAGACAUUCUUGUUUGUUUGACGGUACCUUAAGAAUAAGCACCGGCUAACUCCGUGCCAGCAGCCGCGGUAAUACGGAGGGUGCAAGCGUUAUCCGGAUUCACUGGGUUUAAAGGGUGCGUAGGCGGGCAGGUAAGUCAGUGGUGAAAUCUUCGAGCUUAACUCGGAAACUGCCGUUGAUACUAUCUGUCUUGAAUACCCGGGAGGUGAGCGGAAUAUGUCAUGUAGCGGUGAAAUGCUUAGAUAUGACAUAGAACACCAAUUGCGAAGGCAGCUCACUACAGGGUCAUUGACGCUGAGGCACGAAAGCGUGGGGAUCAAACAGGAUUAGAUACCCUUGUAGUCC